CCCCUCUCUUGGUUGCACCUGGAGAGUUUCCAGUACUCUCCCACUUUCGACUAUGGGAGAGAGUCAAGCAGAGGCCUACCCAUUCCAUUCUUAGCUUGGGCAGUGGCUAGUGAGUGGAAGGCAAUCUGCUACAAGU